UUAUUUUGUUAUAAUAAAAGACGUUCAUGACUACAAUGUUUGUAAAGAGGUCCGAAGACCACGGUGCACAGGUGUAUGAAGGGAAAAGUGCUUGCGCACAUCUCUAAUGAUCCUUCCGCAGGUUCACCUACGGAAA
rnacentral:misc_RNA from 1 species